UGACCAGUUGUCCCAGCACACACCUGCUGUGCAGGCAGGCCGGCCUCCCAGAGGUCCCCGAGACAAUGCCUUUCCUGUCUCUGUGCUUUGUGUCCAUGUCAUCCUCACACCCCACAAUCCCCCCUCUCAGUGCUUCCUUUGCUCAAGUCCCAAUCCUCCUCCUCCACCUGCCGCUGUUCCCAGUCAUCUCCCUGUCCUUCAGCUGCUUUUACCUUCAGCACCUACGCUGCACAGUGAAGCACCUGGCUGCUGUCCUCGGCAUUACCCGGCCUCCCCAGAUGGAGUGUUAGCUUGCUGUGGGAGCCCCGUGUCAUCCAACCCGACCAGCUAUGGACCAGCUCCUGUGCUGCAGAUUAAAUCAACUUGACAAAUGGACAUGAAGGAGAACCGUGAAGGGGAUGACUGAGGGAACGAUUGCCAGGA